UAGUCCACGCCGUAAACGAUGUCAACUAGCCGUUGGGUUCAUUAAAGGAUUCAGUGGUGCAGCUAACGCAUUAAGUUGACCGCCUGGGGAGUACGCGCGCAAGCGUAAAACUCAAAGGAAUUGACGGGGGCCCGCACAAGCGGUGGAGCAUGUUGUUUAAUUCGAAGCAACGCGCAGAACCUUACCUGGAUUUGACAUCUCGGGAAUCUCUCGGAAACGAGAGAGUGCCUUCGGGAACCCGAUGACAGGUGCUGCAUGGCUGUCGUCAGCUCGUGUCGUGAGGUGUUGGGUUAAGUCCCGCAACGAGCGCAACCCUCAUCCUUAGUUGCCAUCAUUUAGUUGGGCACUUUAAGGAACUGCCGGUGAUAAGCCGGAGGAAGGUGGGGAUGACGUCAAGUCCUCAUGGGCCCUUANAGGCUGGGGCUACACACGUGCUACAAUGGUAUCUACAGUGAGCAGCGAUCCCG
rnacentral:rRNA from 1 species